CGCCGGCGGGGAGCCGGGAGGCGCCCGAUCCCCGCGAGCCACGCCCUGACUGCGCUUGCUGCGCGCCGCCUCGGGAUUGCUCAGGCUCCCUGCCGCCGGAAAGAGUGGGUGGCCGGGGCUUUGAGGGGUUGGAUCUGGCGCCUAACGUUGCAGCACCCCCUGGGGAGGAGGAGUCCUGGACUGACCCCUUGUCUCGUUCAGCUCCCCCUCCCCAACACUGUGAAAUUGCCCUCCCUCCACCCCCCUGCAGCGGAGCGCGGUACUCUCUCCUGGGCUUUGCUAAACUCUGAUGCGCUUAUGGCAGGCAUUUUAUCUUCAACAGCUGUACAGUGUGAGGUACAAGAAUUCAUCAGGGACUGAAUAAUGUGUGUGUAGAGUGGUGUCAAAUCGAGGCUGACUUACGACAAGGGUCUCUUAAGGCAAGUGAUUGAGCUCAAGAAGUUUGCCAUUGCUUUCCUCUGCAGAGCCUUCCCUCCUAAUAAUAAUGA